UGGUGGAGUGAUUUGUCUGGUUAAUUCCGUUAACGAACGAGACCUUAACCUACUAAAUAGUUACGUGAUUCUCGAAUCACGGGCAACUUCUUAGAGGGACAAUUGGCGUUUAGCCAGUGGAAGUUUGAGGCAAUAACA
rnacentral:rRNA from 1 species